UACGAAGGGGGCUAGCGUUGUUCGGAAUUACUGGGCGUAAAGCGCACGUAGGCGGAUAUUUAAGUCAGGGGUGAAAUCCCGGGGCUCAACCCCGGAACUGCCUUUGAUACUGGGUAUCUCGAGUCCGAGAGAGGUGAGUGGAAUUCCGAGUGUAGAGGUGAAAUUCGUAGAUAUUCGGAGGAACACCAGUGGCGAAGGCGGCUUCCUGGCCUAUUACUGACGUUCAGGUACGAAAGCGUGGGUAGCAAACAGG
rnacentral:rRNA from 1 species